UGCCCCUUGGCCCAGUUGGUUAAGGCGCACGACUGUUAUGUUUGUGACGUCCGUCACGUUUCAAUUACGUAAUCGUGAGAUCGAGAGUUCAAGUCUCUCAGGGGCAG